CCGGCAUCGAUCGUCCAGAAUCGUUUGAACCAUCGUGCAGUAAAGUUCUCUUCAGCCAGGAGCCACUGGUACACACAAGCGUGCCUGAUGUGACUUUCGAAUCAGUGCCAAGCCGAGCCAAGACUCUGUUGGAGUCUACAGUGUGUGCAGUAUGUGUGACAAGCAAGAAAGGCUAACGAUAACCCACACAAGUAUUGAACGAAAGUUGAGUGAAAGUGCUAACAGUUGAUGAAACUAUUCGUCGAUAUCGCCGAUAUGUGGAGAAAGGAUUUUCCUUAAACUCUUCUACUGGAUAUGGAUUGUCUGUGCAUCUGAAGAACAACUAGAUCCUUUUCAACGUUGUCACCAUGAAUGGAAAUAUCUUCAAACAGUGCAGUAUGUACAUGUUUGGCCCAGCACCACACCAACUUGAGCACGAUAAUUGUAAUCGAUCCUCACACGGUCGCACUAGAUCGCAUUAGUGAAGAUCCGAAGAUAGAUGCUUGAAUCAAAGGAUAUUCGGAGAGUAAUACAAAACGCAAUUCAAAAUGGCUACUGGAACCAGAAAAACCCGCUACUACUUCAAGGAACACAGUGUACGGACAGAGCAUUACGGUAUAAGUCGUGGGAAAGAUGUUAGAAAAAUCAUAACAUGACGUGACUGUUUCCUUAAGAUACACUCUCUGACCCGUCACCGUCUAACAGUGAAAGUGGAAAGGAUGGACACAACAGACUGCAGCUGCUACUGGAACGCUUCAAGCGCAAGCCACUUGGCCAUCGCCAUAAAAGCUUUGAAGACUGCCCACAUCUUCGGUACCUUGGAUUUCUACAGUACACAUAGCGCUUUCAGGAAGGUUUAAAUUCAACAGUGCUUAUCGCAUCAGGAUCAAUUUUAAAAUUCUUUUUCCGCCAUGUUUCGAUGCCGACCUUGUGCCUUUUUUAAAUCCUCUAUUCAAAACACAUUCAUCAAGAGCAGAAGCAGAAUAUCAUCGUUAAGUUUGAGUUGGAGCAUCAUGUUUCGUUCGCCGCCAUUUCCUGUUGAUUUGACUGUUGUUGAUUGUUGUUGGCUAAUUGUAAUUGUUCCAUCAUUAUUAGGGUUUUCUCACGUACGUUGGUUGUUCAAUUGUUAUGCUAUGCAUGAUAGCGAGCUUCGUUAAACUUCAUUGCACUAAUUGCUUUUUUUCUUUUUUUUUUACAGUUUUGCAAAAAAAAGAUUAAAAACCAAUUACUUUUCUAACUUUUCCAUCCCUGAAAUACCACUUGAAACUUGUUACAUUAACGUCCGUUAUACCGUUACUUCCGUUAUCAAACGUUACUACUUGUUUGUGUUAUUUCGUGCUGUUAACUUCUUCAUUGUUUUGUUACUUUCAUUCAGUUACCGGUUAGUUCAGUUAUAACAAACUUUUGUUUCGUUAAAUAUUUUGUAGAAAGCAACACAAAAAGCAACUCCCACUACCCCGUCGUUUUCGUUUCGUUUGCUCUCGAUGUACCUGUUUGGUUAUGUUUAUCAUUUCAUUUCCGUUUUUGUUUCGCAUUAAUCGCAAUUGUUACUGUUUAUGUUACAAUGGACAUAGUUGUUGUUGUUGAUGUUGUUGUUGUUAUUGUUGAUCCUCCUCCAAACCCCGGUUUUUCCUUUCUUGUUUCACUCAAUUUGUUUUCUGUUUUACUGAGUUUUUGUUCUGUUUUACUUUUCUGUUUUCAAAAUUUCACAAAGAUGCUCUAACAACUCUGCUUUUCGCUGUCUUCCUGCUCUGCUCCAGUACAAAUUGAACCUUUUUCUUUUUCAAUAUUGUGUUACCCUUCCGGCUGAACUUUCACAACAUGAAGCACAAUAGACAAUGUCCACUAACCGCGCUAACAAAUCCUUCAGGCAGCAUCAUCACAA